AGGACGAACGCUGGCGGCGUGCUUAACACAUGCAAGUCGAACGGUAAGGCCCUUCGGGGUACACGAGUGGCGAACGGGUGAGUAACACGUGGGUGAUCUGCCCUGCACUUCGGGAUAAGCUUGGGAAACUGGGUCUAAUACCGGAUAUGACUACGAAUCGCAUGGUUUGUGGUGGAAAGCUUUUGCGGUGUGGGAUGGGCCCGCGGCCUAUCAGCUUGUUGGUGGGGUGAUGGCCUACCAAGGCGACGACGGGUAGCCGGCCUGAGAGGGUGUCCGGCCACACUGGGACUGAGAUACGGCCCAGACUCCUACGGGAGGCAGCAGUGGGGAAUAUUGCACAAUGGGCGCAAGCCUGAUGCAGCGACGCCGCGUGAGGGAUGACGGCCUUCGGGUUGUAAACCGUCUUUCAGUAUCGACGAAGCGCAAGUGACGGUAGGUACAGAAGAAGGACCGGCCAACGUACGCGCCAGCAGCCGC
rnacentral:rRNA from 1 species